UGGGGUUUGUCUCAGUGGUAGAGUACUCACCUCGAAUGUGUGUGGCCCUGGGUUCAAUCCUCAGCAUCAUAU
rnacentral:tRNA from 1 species